rnacentral:rRNA from 1 species
GCGAUCCCAGGUCAGGCGGGGCUACCCGCUGAGUUUAAGCAUAUCAAUAAGCGGAGGAAAAGAAACUAACGAGGAUUCCCUUAGUAGCGGCGAGCGAACCGGGAAGAGCCCAGCAUGAAAAUCGUCCGUCGUCGACGGCCGAAUUGUAGUCUGGAGAAGCGUCCUCAGUGACGGACCGGACCCAAGUUCACUGGAAGGUGGCGCCGGAGAGGGUGAGAGCCCCGUCGUGUCCGGACCCUGUC